CCUACGGGAGGCAGCAGUGAGGAAUAUUGGUCAAUGGACGAGAGUCUGAACCAGCCAAGUAGCGUGAAGGAUGAAUGCCCUAUGGGUUGUAAACUUCUUUUAUAAAGGAAUAAAACGCGGCACGUGUGCCUUUUUGCAUGUACUUUAUGAAUAAGGAUCGGCUAACUCCGUGCCAGCAGCCGCGGUAAUACGGAGGAUCCGAGCGUUAUCCGGAUUUAUUGGGUUGAAAGGGAGCGUAGAUGGGUUGUUAAGUCAGUUGUGAAAGUUUGCGGCUCAACCGUAAAAUUGCAAUUGAUACUGGCAGUCUUGAGUACAGUUGAGGUAGGCGGAAUUCGUGGUGUAGCGGUGAAAUGCUUAGAUAUCACGAAGAACCCCGAUUGCGAAGGCAGCUUACUAAACUGUGACUGACAUUGAUGCUCGAAAGUGUGGGUAGCAAACAGGAUUAGAUACCCCUGUAGUC
rnacentral:rRNA from 1 species